UACGUAGGGGGCAAGCGUUGUCCGGAUUCAUUGGGCGUAAAGAGCGUGUAGGCGGCCAGGUAGGUCGGUUGUGAAAACUGGAGGCUCAACCUUCAGAGGUCGACCGAAACCAUCUGGCUAGAGUCCGGGAGAGGAGAGUGGAAUUCCUGGUGUAGCGGUGAGAUGCGCAGAUAUCAGGAAGAACACCCGUGGCGAAAGCGGCUCUCUGGAGCGGUACUGACGCUGAGACGCGAAAGCGUGGGGAGCGAACAGG
rnacentral:rRNA from 1 species